AUGCCGCUCUCAGAACAGAAGACGGACACUCAGUUCAAACAGCCAGCGCCACCAUGGCCGACUCCUGGGCCGGGGACUGUCGCGCUAUCCGUUGAUGGUUCCUUCCGAGAGGCAGAUGGUUCGGCAGCGACCGGAAUCAUAUUGAGAGAUGAGUCAGGUACGGUACUGUUGGCGGCGUAUCGCUACAUGUUUAACUGUAAUGACACUUUGGAGGUGGAGAUCCAUGCUAUCAUGCAGGGUAUGGCUUUGGCCAUCCAACACAUAGUACUUCCGGUGGUUGUGCAGUCGGACUCGACGAUUGGCCUCUCAGUGUUGACUACUGAUGGCCUCACCAAAUCAGCAUAUGGGCAUCUGAUCCUGGAGAUUAAAGAGUUGAUGAAGGAAAGUAAGUUUUUACCUCAGAAAUUACACCGUAGUCAGAAUAAUGUAGCAGAUCGGUUGACAAACUAUAACCGCACCGAGAGAACCACGGCUGUGUGGGUUCACUCGGCUCCACCUUGUAUUGAGGAUCUUUGGCCUCUCGAUUGUAACACUGUGACAAUGCAAUAA
rnacentral:rRNA from 1 species